GGGGUCGGUUGGGAUUUUAACAUAUAAAAAACGGUGGAUGAUAUCUUAAAUGUUCAUCAAUUUUGAUGGACAGAUGACAAAUGAUGGCUCUCAUACAAUUCUAAGUUCAAUAAGAUGCACACUAUAGUUGCAUGAAAUAUGGAAGCAUCUUAUAUGAAUCACUAUGCAAAUUUAUUCAUUGAGUUGUUCAGUUGGGUCGGCUUUGUCUGGGUUCGGUAGGCCGCUUUGGGUUUGAUUGGGAUCAA
rnacentral:lncRNA from 1 species